GCGGAGGAAAAGAAACCAACUGGGAUUGCCUCAGUAACGGCGAGUGAAGCGGCAACAGCUCAAAUUUGAAAUCUGGCGCCUUGGGCGUCCGAGUUGUAAUUUGUAGAGGGAGUCUCGGGUUAAGGGUCGGUCCAAGUGCCUUGGAACAGGAUACCGAAGAGGGUGAGAGUCCCGUAUCCGGCCGACGCCAGCGCCCGUGUGAGGCCCCUUCGACGAGUCGAGUUGUUUGGGAAUGCAGCUCUAAAUGGGUGGUAAAUUCCAUCUAAAGCUAAAUACUGGCCAGAGACCGAUAGCGCACAAGUAGAGUGAUCGAAAGAUGAAAAGCACUUUGAAAAGAGAGUCAAACAGUACGUGAAAUUGUUGAAAGGGAAGCGUAUGUGGGCAGACUUGGACGCUGGAUUCAGGCCGCCUUCUGGCGGGUGCAUUUUCCAGCGGACGGGCCAGCAUCGGUUCUGAGGGCCGGACAAAGACGAAGGGAAUGUGGCUCCUCUCUGGGGAGUGUUAUAGCCCGGCGUGCAAUGCGGCCACUUGGGACCGAGGACCGCGC
rnacentral:rRNA from 1 species